GAAACAUUGUGAGGGCGAUCUGGCUGCGACAUCUGUCACCCCAUUGAUCGCCAGGGUUGAUUCGGCUGAUCUGGCUGGCUAGGCGGGUGUCCCCUUCCUCCCUCACCGCUCCAUGUGCGUCCCUCCCGAAGCUGCGCGCUUGGUGGAAGAGGACGACCAUCCCAGAUAGAAGGAGUGUACCAUUCUUCGGUCAAGGGUAUACGAUAGCUGCGCUCCCCUGCUAGAACCUCCAAACAAGCUCAAGGAAAAGAGAUCACUUUCUCAGCCAAAGCUGAACUGUGGACACUUCUGAAUAAAACUCACCUUCCUCUCUUUCUCUUU